AUACGGAGGAUCCGAGCGUUAUCCGGAUUUAUUGGGUUUAAAGGGUGCGUAGGCGGCCUUUUAAGUCAGCGGUGAAAGUCUGUGGCUCAACCAUAGCAUUGCCGUUGAAACUGGGAGGCUUGAGUAUGUUUGAGGCAGGCGGAAUGCGUGGGGGAGGGGUGAAAUGCUUAGAUAUCACGCAGAACACCGAUUGCGUAGGCAGCUGACCAGACCGCAAAUGACGCUCAUGCACGAAAGUGCGGGUAUCAAACAGGAUUAGAUACCCUGGUAGUCCGCACAGUAAACGAUGAAUACUCGCUGUUUGCGAUACACUGUAAGCGGCCAAGCGAAAGCGUUAAGUAUUCCACCUGGGGAGUACGCCGGCAACGGUGAAACUCAAAUGAAUUGACGGGG
rnacentral:rRNA from 1 species